AACGAACGCUGGCGGCAGGCCUAACACAUGCAAGUCGAGCGCGCCCUUCGGGGUGAGCGGCGGACGGGUGAGUAACGCGUGGGAACGUGCCCUUUUCUACGGAAUAGCCUCGGGAAACUGAGAGUAAUACCGUAUACGCCCUUUGGGGGAAAGAUUUAUCGGAAAAGGAUCGGCCCGCGUUGGAUUAGGUAGUUGGUGGGGUAAUGGCCUACCAAGCCGACGAUCCAUAGCUGGUUUGAGAGGAUGAUCAACCACACUGGGACUGAGACACGGCCCAGACUCCUACGGGAGGCAGCAGUGGGGAAUCUUAGACAAUGGGGGCAACCCUGAUCUAGCCAUGCCGCGUGAGUGAUGAAGGCCUUAGGGUUGUAAAGCUCUUUCAGCUGGGAAGAUAAUGACGGUACCAGCAGAAGAAGCCCCGGCUAACUCCGUG
rnacentral:rRNA from 1 species